UACGUAGGGGGCAAGCGUUGUCCGGAUUUAUUGGGCGUAAAGAGCGUGUAGGCGGCCAUUCAGGUCAGCUGUGAAAACUCGAGGCUCAACCUCGAGACGCCGAUGGAAACCAUCAGACUAGAGUCCGGAAGAGGAGAGUGGAAUUCCUGGUGUAGCGGUGAAAUGCGCAGAUAUCAGGAAGAACACCCGUGGCUAAGGCGGCUCUCUAGUACGGUACUGACGCUGAGGAGCGAAAGCAUGGGGAGCGAACAGG
rnacentral:rRNA from 1 species